CCCCGGGGCGGCGGGCUAUACAUGCAAGUCGAACGAACUCUGGUAUUGAUUGGUGCUUGCAUCAUGAUUUACAUUUGAGUGAGUGGCGAACUGGUGAGUAACACGUGGGAAACCUGCCCAGAAGCGGGGGAUAACACCUGGAAACAGAUGCUAAUACCGCAUAACAACUUGGACCGCAUGGUCCGAGCUUGAAAGAUGGCUUCGGCUAUCACUUUUGGAUGGUCCCGCGGCGUAUUAGCUAGAUGGUGGGGUAACGGCUCACCAUGGCAAUGAUACGUAGCCGACCUGAGAGGGUAAUCGGCCACAUUGGGACUGAGACACGGCCCAAACUCCUACGGGAGGCAGCAGUAGGGAAUCUUCCACAAUGGACGAAAGUCUGAUGGAGCAACGCCGCGUGAGUGAAGAAGGGUUUCGGCUCGUAAAACUCUGUUGUUAAAGAAGAACAUAUCUGAGAGUAACUGUUCAGGUAUUGACGGUAUUUAACCAGAAAGCCACGGCUAACUACGUGCCAGCAGCCGCGGUAAUACGUAGGUGGCAAGCGUUGUCCGGAUUUAUUGGGCGUAAAGCGAGCGCAGGCGGUUUUUUAAGUCUGAUGUGAAAGCCUUCGGCUCAACCGAAGAAGUGCAUCGGAAACUGGGAAACUUGAGUGCAGAAGAGGACAGUGGAACUCCAUGUGUAGCGGUGAAAUGCGUAGAUAUAUGGAAGAACACCAGUGGCGAAGGCGGCUGUCUGGUCUGUAACUGACGCUGAGGCUCGAAAGUAUGGGGUAGCAAACAGGAUUAGAUACCCUGGUAGUCCAUACCGUAAACGAUGAAUGCUAAGUGUUGGGAGGGUUUCCGCCCUUCAGUGCUGCAGCUAACGCAUUAAGCAUUCCGCCUGGGGAGUACGGCCGCAAGGCUGAACUCAAAGGAAUUGACGGGGGGCCCGCACAAGCGGUGGAGCAUUGUGGUUUUAAUUCGAAGCUACGCGAAGAACCUUACCAAGGUCUUUGAACAUACUA
rnacentral:rRNA from 1 species